AUUGAACGCUGGCGGCAGGCCUAACACAUGCAAGUCGAGCGAGUGGCGGACGGGUGAGUAAUGUCUGGGAAACUGCCUGCUGGAGGGGGAUAACUACUGGAAACGGUAGCUAAUACCGCAUACUAUCAGAUGUUCACAGCGUGGAUUAUCAAGUGGGUGGGGUAACGGCUCACCAAGGCGACGAUCCCUAGCUGGUCUGAGAGGCUGACGAGCCAACCGGGAACUGAGACACGGUCCAGAUUCCUACGGGAGGCACCAGUGGGGAAUAUCGCACAAUGGGCGCAAGCCUGAUGAAGCCAUGCCGGGUGGUUGAAGAAGGCCUUCGGGUUGUAAAGCACUUUCAGCGGGGAGGCGUUACCCGCAGAAGAAGCACCGGCUAACUCCGUGCCAGCAGCCGCGGUAAUAC
rnacentral:rRNA from 1 species